AACGAACGCUGGCGGCAUGCCUAACACAUGCAAGUCGAACGAGACCUUCGGGUCUAGUGGCGCACGGGUGCGUAACGCGUGGGAACCUGCCCUUAGGUUCGGAAUAACUCCCCGAAAGGGGUGCUAAUACCGGAUAAUGUCUUCGGACCAAAGAUUUAUCGCCUUUGGAUGGGGCCGCGUUGGAUUAGCUAGUUGGUAGGGUAAAAGCCUACCAAGGCGACGAUCCAUAGCUGGUCUGAGAGGAUGAUCAGCCACACUGGGACUGAGACACGGCCCAGACUCCUAGGAGAGGAAGCAGGUGGGAAUAUUGGACAAUGGGCGAGAGGCUGAGACAGCAAGGCCGCGUGAGUGAUGAAGGCGUUAGGGUUGUAAAGCUCUUUUAACCGGGAUGAUAAUGACAGUACCGGGAGAAUAAGCGCCGGCUAACUACGUG
rnacentral:rRNA from 1 species